GAAACAUUUAAUUGGGAAGUUCACAACUCAUCAACUUAUCUUGAUCUAUACGAACUAUAUGGAUCUGAAAACAAAAAAUACUUCUCAAUGAAGAUAAACCAUGAAGGUAGUUUCUUGUACUAUCUAGAAAGAGAUUACCAUGGAGGAAUCAUUGACCAUGUUGACUUCAUCAACAUAACUAGUUUCUAUGUGGAGGUACCUCUUCAUCCAAGGGGAAGGAGCCAGUGGCGUAACAGCGCAUCACACACACAUGAUUUUCGCAAUGAGUUUUAUGGGAUUGUACUCUGAUUUAUAUUACUGUUCGAUGUUUUAAUUUAAGACAUGUUCAUUAUGAUUUAUGGAUUGAUAUGAUAUUGGCAAUGUUUUCAAUAAACAAUUUAUAAAUUACUUAUUUACAAAAGAAAUUUUUGCACUCGAAAUUUGGGAUGUUACAAGUUGGUAUCAGAGCCUUGGUUUGAGGGAAUCAGACACACACCUUUGGGGGUGUUUGGACUCAAAUCAAGGGCUUGAAGGAUUUUCACAAGAAAAUAGUUUUCUAAGAUCUAAGUUAAAGAAUUUUGGGAAAGAACGAGGUGUGUGAUGCAUGCGACCGGUCGAGCUCAAGUAAGUUUUCCCCAAAAUACCCAUACUUGAUACGUUAUGUUAUAUGAUAUGAUUAUGAGAACUGUAUACUAGAUUAGGGCUAAGGAUCUAGGAAGAUGUCUUGUAUGCCUGUUAUAUGAUUCUGAGAACUGCAUGCUAGAUUAGGGCUAAGGAUCUAGGGAGGAUGCCUUAUAUGCCUGUUGUAUGAGUUUAUUGAGCAAUAUGCUAGGGCUGGUUAGUCAGCAGUAUGGUAACCUGAUUAGGUUAUGCCUGGUGUUGGAUACUCAAUGCACGGAUGCUACUUGCUUUGUUCUAUAAGGGUUCCGACUAGCUUUAACUAACAAGUGAACGGAUAUGUAAUAGUAUCUGCAAGCUAGUUAAGGAAAGACGGUAGGGACUCCUUGUGCAGCUGAUGGUGGAGAGUAGGUCAGAGAGUUCCCUAAAACAAGCCUAGGAUGAGAUUAUUUGGAAAGUUGUAUUAGUAGAAAAGGAUUUGGUGAAGUCAAUGCAAUUCUUAAGGAAAGUAUGGAUAUAUGUGGAAGGUAGUAUGGUCCCGUACUACUGGAAACAGAGGAUCCGUACUCGAACCAAUGAGGGCUGAGACAGAACCAGGAAACUUGGAGAGUGUGUGAGAUCUCUCGAGAGUAUGUAUGACCCUGACAUCAUUAUGUUUGUAUUCAAUAUGGCGAUUACGCGACAUGGAGCAUGUUCUGGGUCAGGAUCAUGGUUAGGCUUAGGUGCGGGAUCCGAGCAGAUUGAUGACGGGCUACGCGAGUUCAUUGCGUCUGAGAUCACGAGAGGUAUCCUUGAGGCGACCCCGGUCAU